UACGUAGGGUGCGAGCGUUAAUCGGAAUUACUGGGCGUAAAGCGUGCGCAGGCGGCUUUGCAAGACAGAUGUGAAAUCCCCGGGCUUAACCUGGGAACUGCAUUUGUGACUGCAUGGCUGGAGUGCGGCAGAGGGGGAUGGAAUUCCGCGUGUAGCAGUGAAAUGCGUAGAUAUGCGGAGGAACACCGAUGGCGAAGGCA
rnacentral:rRNA from 1 species